GUCGAACGGCAGCACGGGAGCAAUCCUGCUGGCGAGUGGCGAACGGGUGAGUAAUAUAUCGGAACGUGCCCAGUCGUGGGGGAUAACGCAGCGAAAGCUGUGCUAAUACUUGAUACAAUCUAUGGAUGAAAUGGGUGGAGUCGUAAGGGCCUCGCGCGAUUGGAGCGGCCGAUAUCAGAUUAGCUAGUUGGCGGGGUAAAAGCCCACCAAGGCCACAAUCUGUAGCUGGUCUGAGAGGACGACCAUGCGCUCUGUGCCUGAUUCCCGGUCCAGACUCCUGCCGGGGCCGCUGCUGUAGAAUUUUGGACAAUGCGCGAAAAGAGGAUCCUUCAAUGCCGCGUGCUCUUCCGCUUCCUUCCUCAUGGACUUGCUUUUGCGGGAACGAAACUGCUCUUCCUAAUACCGGCUCAUAAUGACGCGACCAUACGAAUAUCCACCGAAUUAACUACAUGCCAGCAGCCGCGGUUGUACAUAAAGUGCCAGCGAAAAUCCAAAUUACUG
rnacentral:rRNA from 1 species